CCACACUCCCUGCACCAGCUGCCAGGUGCCUCUGCUGCAAGAUGCACCUGCUGUGCAUGCGCACACUGUAGUUCUCAGGAAGCUAUGGCUCUGCCCUCUGCACACCCAGCCUCUUAAGGCUCAGGCCCCGUUUCCCUUUUGCUUCUGUAUUUUUAUGUGAGCAACCAGGCAAGACCACUCAUUACAUAUUUGGAAGCGUUUUGCCCUUUGAAAGCAGGGAGGACGUUCCCUGGUGCUCGCCGGUGGUCAGAAGAUGCAAGGCU
rnacentral:lncRNA from 1 species